rnacentral:lncRNA from 1 species
CAGCUUUCAGCAUACAAUUACCCUCAUUCUAAUCACUGGAAUUCUUCAUACAGAACUGCCAUUCACAUUACGGUGUUUCACACAAACACACACUCAUUUUCAUUGAACUACAAUCAGAUUUCAACAUUCAAUCUUUCUUCUUCUCAAAUAAUACCAAUCACAUUUCCAUUCCAUAAUUCACUUCACAAUAUUCAGAAACUCUCAAUCCUCUUAUUUAAAGAAAAUAACAAACAAAAGAAAAGAACUAG